rnacentral:rRNA from 1 species
AUUGAACGCUGGCGGCAGGCCUAACACAUGCAAGUCGAACGGUAACAGGAAGCAGCUUGCUGCUUUGCUGACGCGUGGCGGACGGGUUAGUAAUGUCUGGGAAACUGCCUGAUGGAGGGGGAUAACUACUGGAAACGGUAGCUAAUACCGCAUAACGUCGCCAGACCAAAGAGGGGGACCUUCGGGCCUCUUGCCAUCGGAUGUGCCCAGAUGGGAUUAGCUAGGAGGUGGGGUAACGGCUCACCUAGGCGACGAUCCCUAGCUGGUCUGAGAGGAUGACUAGCCACACUGGAACUGAGACACGGUCCAGACUCCGACGGGAGGCAGCAGUGGGGAAUAUUGCACAAUGGGCGCAAGCCUGAUGCAGCCAUGCCGCGUGUAUGAAGAAGGCCUUCGGGUUGUAAAGUACUUUCAGCGGGGAGGAAGGGAGUAAAGUUAAUACCUUUGCUCAUUGACGUUACCCGCAGAAGAAGCACCGGCUAACUCCGUG